AAGCAAGUUUAUACAUGCCCUUAGCAUUAUAAAGUUAAGUUAAUGAAACAAGCGUUCGGACAAAAGUAAAGUUGUGCAAAGUCCCCUGGAGCACAAAGGUCUGGUACAAAGGUCAAUAUGUGAACCAUGUGAUCAUGCACGUGCAGAGCGCACGUGUGAGUUAACAACAAACCAUUGUAAAAAUCUCUUCCCAUGUGUGCGGGAAAUUAGACCAAUCAGGUUUCACCAUUUCAUCUGCAUAGUUUCCUGCUUGGAUCAGUAAGCCUCAUUAGGGCCAUUUAUACGGAACAAAAUAAGACGCGACUUACAUAAGACGCGACUUACAUAAGACGCGACUUACAUAAGACGCGACUUACAUAAGACGCGACUUACAUAAGACGCGACUUAAAUAAGACGCGAGUUUGUCGUAUAAAAGGUACAAAAUUC